CUAAACCAUGUGCCUACAUGGGUUGCUUACUAGUUCUACCUUUGGCAAGUAGAACAACCUCCACGGAGUAGGAUAGACUCCGGAUUCCAUGCCUAGCUAGUAUGGUCUAUGUCGGUUAUGCCUAUUCCCAUCAUGUGGGAUGUGCACUCUAGUUAUUGGAUAGGUUCUACAACGUGUAGGUAGUAGUAUGGGAUGCUAUCUACACAUGGCACGAGUAGGCUUUGAAGAUACUAAAGUGAGUUCCCUAAGUCUAACGACUAUUAUGUGAAAGUCCCCUUAUGUGCUUGAAUGUCUCCAAAAUGGUUUCUUAAAGAAUGUUGGCCUAUUGAUGUUAUGUUGUAAAGGAAAUGUCCUUAUCUAAGGUAAUCUUGGGGAACACUUAAGUGUGCUUGAAGAGAUUGUAUGGGCGGUCACUUCAUGUUUCACUUAAGUGUGGCUUUGGGUAACUUGAGAUAGAGGUCAAGAAAUGAUGAAAAGGUUUACUUGUAUUUUUUUUUAUGAAGUUUUACCAAAUGGCAUAAAAGCGUGUUUCUCCAAUGAACGUCCUUUUUAGCAUGUUUUUGCAUGGCUUCCAUACUUUGUACUUAAUUGUGCUAACCCCUUUCUUUUCUUUUUUAACUAAAGUGUAGGGAUUUGGAGAUGAUGAUAUGUCAUGGCUAUUUGAUAGGUUUCUAAGUGUUGAAGAUGAAGACUUGGUGAGUCCUCAUAGAUUCGAGGACAAUACCCAAUAUGUUCUUUUAUGUCUUUUUAAGUAUUGUUUAAGUUGUGUAUGGGAUUGGUCCCGAAUUUGUACUCUAAAGUAUUAGAUGGUUAUGAGACAUCAUGUAUAAAAGUCUAGAAAGUCUUCCGCUUGCUAUUUAUUUUAUGCAAUGUUUUCUUGGUAAAGAAAGUUUUAAAUUCCUCAUGGUUUUAGUGUCUAUGCGAUGAACGAAUGCUAAGAUGCUUGUAUUAGACCUCUUCGAGGUCGAGUACGCCGGGUACGACUAGGGGGGUGCUCCCGGGUCGUGACAAACUUGGUAUCAGGGCAUAAGUUUCUAGGAUGGUCUUAGGUGGUCUCAAAACCACAUCUAGUAGAGUGUUGUUUAUAAUGUGAAGCGCGCCACAUUAUGAAUAGGAGGCUAUUGGGUGUUAAGAAAGUUUCACUUAUUCAUUCUUUUAGUCGUGCCAUGGAGUUUCUCCCUAUAAUGUCUUCCCUUAUUCCUUAUGUGAUGGUUAUUUGGGUGUAACCUUUGAGGAAGUUUUAAUGUUGCAAGGGUUGAGGGAGAGAGAAUGUUGGUUGUGAUGCCAACUAUGACUUGGUGACUUAGUAGGUGUGAGGUGAAAGAUUAUGGUGAUGACUUUAGGAUGAAUGGGAUUCCUUUGGUUAUGCGUGUUGUUGGUAGUAUCCGGCUUAGUCAUAAGGAAGUCUUGUGAUGUGUUGAAGGAAUUUGAGAAAUGUGUGGUGAUUUAGAAAUGCUAGGUGUAAUGAGUAUAAAAGCCUAGUGUUGUUUUGAUCCGACCUUAGGAUGGAAGGUGGUGAAUUUGAAAGAACUAGUAAGAGUUUCUCCUAAGUGGGGGAAAUAUGUGGUUAGAUGAUAAGGUCUUUAAGUGUGGUUGAUGUUUAUGAGUUAGGCUUGAAGGAUGUUUUCAUUACAAGAGGUUUAGUGAAUUAAAGAGUUGGAUAAAAAUGGUUUUGGUAAGAUUGAUGGUAUGUUGAGUAGUGAAGUUGUUGAGAAGUGCUGAUAUCUUUACCUACUUUUAGAUGUGCUUACUCAAGCUUAAAACAAAGAAUUCCUAGAAGCUUGUGUUAUGUUUUGGAGUCUUAUGUGAAAAAGAGUUUUCCAUGGUUUCCUUAUGUCAUGCAUGUUUUAUAUGAAUUCUUGUUAAAUGAGAAAAUGAGUUUUCAUAAAUUUAUGUUCCUCAUGUUGAUGUGCAUCUAUAAUGAUUUGCCUAAAUGUUGCAUGAGUUAAAUUAUGAGCAUGUUUAAAAGUGUUUUGAUGAUGUUGCCUAAAGUGCUUCUAUGAGAAAGUUGCAUAAUGUUCAAUUAACAUAAGUUGUCUAUUUGCUUUAUGAGCUGAUAAUGUGAGCAUGCUUACUUGAGUUUUGGAGAAGGUUGCAUGAUGUGCUUUAAUGAGAAAAUUGCAUAUUGUGUCCUUUGAUGUUAUGAUGAGCAUGAGAUGAUUUGGAGAAGGAAGUACCUCCAAUGAAAUGAAAUGAAAUGAGAAAUGAGAAAUGAGAAAAGGUAAAGAUGAUGCAUAAGGAGUUAGUAGAUGUUGUGCCUACUUUCUUGAAUUGCAUGAAGUUGUGUGGGACUUUCUAUGUGGAGUUGAUGUUUCCUCCUAUAUUUAUGCAUUUGUAUUGAUGUUAUGUUGUAAAUGAAAUGUCCUUAUCAAAGGUAAUCUUGGGGAACACUUAAGUGUGCUUGAAGAGGUUGUAUGGGCGGUCACUUCUUGUCUCACUCAAGUGUGUCUUAAGGUUAUAUUAGGUAGAGGUCCUAUGGUAAUGAAAUG
rnacentral:lncRNA from 1 species